UUCCAAUGUAGAUCCUGAACAGAAAAAGCAAUGGGCAGUUACCGCAGCCUCUCGCGCUCAGGUGAUUUCGACAGGGCAGCUGACGAUGGUUACAGCUCGUGCGAGGGGAAUGGCUACCUCACACCUAUUUUUAAAAAUCUUGUGAUGAAUCUAUCUGCAAUCUUACCAAGCGUUUUCUUCUUCAUUGGUAUGCAUUUUAUAGUCAUCUAGCGUAGAAAACAUCCAACUGUGCUCUACCAGUGCAGCACACUCGGUACUAGGACCACAGAGCCUGCUAACCCGCCUGAAUCGCUCUCGCUCCACACAACGCCUGCUGCCUUCCCUCUGCUGUGUGUAACGUGACCCAGGACCACACUGCUGGAGGAAGUCCCCUGGGGCCAGGUGACACACUACGUGAGCCCUGCAGCCAAGUAGCACCCACAAAAUCAGAAGCCCAUCUUGACAAUCCAGUCUGUCCAACGAGCUGCAGCCACAGAAUGCUGUCACACACCAAGACUAGUGAGACCACCACCCACCUGGACAGAGAGUGAGGAUGAGCCAAGAAAAAAGAGCAGCCAUGGCUUCCCCAAGCAGCGUGCUCUGGCUCCUCAACACCGUUCGGGCUGAACGGCGUUAGGAUCCAUGGCCGCACCUGAUGGUCUCUGCACAGUCAGUGCAAGAAGCCUGAGAACUGAAGACCUCGCCUGUGUCACUGCUGAGAGUGAACUACAGCAGUCCUGUCCCAGAGGAGGUACAGGAGCUGAGCCCACCCAUCUGCAGAGAAAGGGACGGUUAGAGCACCCGCACAGCGCGAGGAGGAAGGAAGGUGGCCGACUGCAGCACACAACAGACACAGCCCCAUCUGCGGAAGGGGAAACACGGGCUAACUAGUCUCCAGAGUCAGAGGUCAGCCCGGGGCUGCCCCAUGGUAGGGCUCAGUGACUGGUGGGGGGACUUGCUUCUGUCCCUUGACCUGGGCAGGUUUGUUUACACACUUACAUUAGCUGUGACUUACGAUCUGUACUUCAGUAAAUGUUUAAAAAUAAACUACCGAGACCCAGAAUUUUCCCAAUGCGUGUCAUGCAGGGAGUCACUUACCCCAAUCCGAUGGCCAGCAGAUGAGACAGCAGCAGAGACGGAAGAAAAACUUUCAGAAACUCUGC